rnacentral:rRNA from 1 species
UACGUAGGGACCAAGCGUUGUUCGGAUUUACUGGGCGUAAAGGGCGCGUAGGCGGCGUGGUAAGUCAGCUGUGAAAUCUCCGAGCUUAACUCGGAACGGUCAGCUGAUACUGAUGUGCUAGAGUGCAGAAGGGGCAAUCGGAAUUCUUGGUGUAGCGGUGAAAUGCGUAGAUAUCAAGAGGAACACCUGAGGUGAAGACGGGUUGCUGGGCUGACACUGACGCUGAUGCGCGAAAGCCAGGGGAGCAAACGGG